ensembl:snRNA U6 U6 spliceosomal RNA
GUGCUCACUUCAGUAACAUAUAUACCAAAAUUGGAACAAUACAGAGAUGAUUAGCAUGGCUCCUGCGCAAGAGUGACACACAAAUCUGUGAAGCAUUCCAUAUUUGU